UCAAAAUUAUCGUAGGAAAAGAUAUAAAAAUACAUAACAUAAUUUGAUUGACUUCCAUUCAAACAGUUGUAUGAAGUACACUGAUAAUUUACACUAUUUUGGAUGCAUACUUUGUCUACAAAUUUGUCUUUAAUAGUUCCAUCGAUAAAACCCAAACAGUUUGGUACAGCUCCUACCAUAUUACGAAUUGAUAGACUAUAAACGAAUUAGGGAUAUAUAAUUUAAGUUCAAUUCAGCUAAUAGCUUACCCGUGCAUAUAGUUGAUGAUAACUAUUUCUACAAAGCCACUUUUGUGCAUUCAAAUUAUCUUAAAAAUGUCCAUGAUAUUCCACAAUGAAGUUUGCAAUUAUAACAAUUAACUUAAUUUUUAGUUUAACGCCCCCUCCCCAAUUUUGAGAAUAUUUUGUAUAGUGAUUUGUUAUGAUGUUUUCAUGCGAUAUUUCCAAUAAGAGUACUGGCAAAUAAAUAGUUCUUGGGAUAGUCGAAAAAAAAAAUGAUAUUUCAACAGUGGCGACGCUAGGGGGGAGGGCGGUGCCGGAGACACCGGUGCUCAACCCUUCACUCCGUCUAGAUAAGCGGAGAAAAGGGUGCGAAUUGUGGACCAUAGAUUACAAUAAUAUUAA